CGGUCGCAGUCUCGGUCGCAGUCGCAGUCGCGGAGUCAGUGUCAGGGCUAGUGGCAGUGCAUGCCAAAGCCAUGAGGCUGAUUUCCAAGAAUAAAUUGUGAUUUCGUUCAAAUAGUUGAUCCAUAAGGGAUUAUACGUGGAACACAUGGUGGCAGCUUAUAGCUAACGGAUAUUACCUGGCGUUAUCGGACUCCAGUAUUUUUUUUCAAAUGUUAGAGUUUUCACCCAUUUUCCGCCUGCGGUAAUAUUAAAAAAUAAUCGAUCGGAUAAAAAAUAUAUAUCUAUAUAAAAAAUAUAUUAACAGUUGUGCUGAUGCCCAGAGGCGCGGAUUGUUCGAAAAGCGUGAAACACGUAUACAAUACACUUGCCCAAGCAAGUGGAUUAUUGCAAGCCCUCUUAGUCUUAGCGGGCACUUCAGGAAAAAAACACGUAUUUUAUGAAUAAUCCUGCUGACCUGCAGUAAAUAUGGGGUUUUCCGCAUGAACUGAGUGCUUGAAUUGCCAGCUGAUGCCCUGUUGCAUAUGAAACCCACAUUGAUCAGUUCAAGAACCUUUGAGGAUAACUCUGGCACAUAUCAAAGCUAGCCUGUCAGCUGCCAAGAGCGAGCAACGCUUCAAUAACUCAUCCGGAAUCGUGUUCACCCCUUUGUGCGUGCCACAUACCAAAUGCAAAUUCAUGGGGCACGCUCUCUGGGCCAUGGCUGCUUUGACUGCUUUGCAUAUUGACAUCAUCAUUUUGCCGAGACGACAAACUGUCAAACAAAACAAUUGCUGUCAAAUUUACUACAAUGAGCCGGGCGCUGAAAGCGGCCAAAGGAAGUGAGAUGAACAAAAAGCCAAAAUAUGGGAGAAAUAAAAAUGCUCGAUAGAAAAAAAUUGA